CCAUAGGUACCUAUGUAUUAGUAUGAUGCUCAUUGCUCCUAUGAGGAUUAGUGUCAUUGGAAUCUCGAUGGAAAUUUCUAUGUCUGCAGUUUGUGCUUCUCUUACUACCUUUGUUCAUUUUGAAUUUCACUGGAAAUAAAGCAACUUGUAUGUAGUUAGUAACUUUAAAUGAAUUAAAAUAAUUUAAGUAAAAAGUAAAAUAUUGUCUUACCUAGUUGAAGGCCCAAUACUUGCGAUGCUGCGAUUACCAGUAAUCCCAUUGGGAUCUCUAAUGUUAUGGACAUUUCUAUCGUUAUUGCUUCUCUAAUUGAUAACUUGAUUUCCAAUUUCACUGGAAAUAAAGCAACUUGUAGUUAGUAUCUUUAAAUAAUUUAAGUAAAAAGUAAAAUAUUUUCUUACCUGUCCAUUCGUUGAAUGUACUCGUAGUUGUUGCUGUCGCGUCCAUUAUAGGUACUCUUUCUUGAUUUUCCUUUCGCAGAAUUAAUUUUUGUUAAAGUUCAGAAAAAUGAAAAAAGAAAUCAAUAAAACUUGGAAUUCCAAGGAAUAAAAUAUGUACAUUAAUGAAAUGUCAAGACGUACACUGAAUUUGUAUUGAUUCACGAAUACUCAUAAUUAUAUAUAUACCAGUAUAGCGUAAAGAUUUUCACACGUUUUUCUGACGUAAUUUUCUUCAAUUUUUUAAAGCAUAAGUAUGACAUAUAUCUACUUACUUGAACUUGACAAGAUUUGUUCACGAUACUUGAUAUCUCUAGUUAAGAUUUUAUUUGCAAUGUUUUACGUAUCAAUAAUUGGAGUAGUUAGUUGUCGAUGAAAAACAGAUUCUAUGAAUGCGGAGAUGUAAGAUAUUUUUUGAGUAAAAAAAUGAUAAAUUUUAAUUUUUUUUUCAAAAUAAUGACGAAUUUUAAGAAAAACAAUCAUGACAAUUUUUUAAAAAAAUGAUGUUACUUUGUGAGAAAAAAUAAUGAAUUUUUAAAAAUUUCUGAAAAAAAAUGACUUGAAAUGAAAUACUUGUAGGUGAGAAUUAAAAAAAAAUACUUAGCGUCAAUGUAUAGCACACGGUUACCAGAAUGUAUGUGUAUCUAUAUGUAUAACCACAACCUGUUCUAAAUUUAGCUGUAAACUCAAAAUUUGUUUUUUAAAUAAGUAAUUUUACGAAAUUUUGUAAGUAUGAACAUAAAUCGAUAACAAAAUAUAAAUAACUACUAACGAAUAAAGAACGAGUAAAUAGGUUAAUUAUAUUCAAGUAGGUUAUGGUAACUUUCAAGUUUCCCAAUCCCAGUGGAUAUGGCCAUACCGUACUUGACAAAGUCAAGAUUUUUUCACGAAAAGUGCAAAAAAAUAUAAAGUCUUGCUUUUAGGAAAAAAUUUUAUCAAAAGUGUCGCUUUUUAGAUAAAAUUACGUAGGUACUAAAAGGUCCCACUUUGUGCUAAAAUUGUCAAAAGUCUUGUUUUUUGGCAGAAAUUUACACUAUUCAGUAAAGUGCUAAAAUAUUUCAUUUUUUUUUUUCAUAAAAUACGCAGAAGUCUCGAUUUCGUGCCAGAAAUUUACAGAAAAUAGGUAUCACUUUUUGCCGAUGAUUUGCAAAAAAGUAUUGCUUUUUACCAAAAAUUCUCGUUUUGUGAAAACUUUUAAAAAAUAAUAUUGAAUGAAGGUUAUAAAAAAACGGACUUCCUGUAAAAAAAUGAUAGGUAAAUUUACAAAGUACAAAUACUUACUUGAAUUAUAAACUUCGAAGACUUCAGCCCUCGCUUCGCUCAGGCCUGUUACGAGUAGUUUUUCUUUUUUAAGAUCAAACUUUCUAAAAUACGAAAUGUUGAGAGCUUUUGCUUUCGGAACUGAAAUUUCUUCAAAAAAUCGUUCCAAUUCUGAAAUUUUUAAGCCAAAAAAAUCAACCUCCUCCAAUACAUAUAAAAACAUUGUUCUUUCACUCAUCAAAAUUGGAAUUUUUUAAAGCUUUUUCUCAUCCGCUACGCUCGGGUUAAUUUGUUUUGUUUUCGUCUUUGUUCUUUACAAAAUGUAAAUAUUUUAUGUUUGAAGCUUCUCUUUGGAGAUUCUCCAAGUUUCAUAUUGGGAAAACAAAAAUGCUUGCAAAUUCGUUGAAAUGUCAUAAAAAUUGUUUAAAUUGGCUGAAAUUUGAUGAAAAUCAUUAAAAAACUGCUUUGUUAUGAAAAAAAGUUACAAAAUUACAAAAAAUAACGUUAUGGAAUUUUUUCAUUAUUUUUCAGUAAUUAGCGCGGAAAAUUCUACAAAAAUUGCUCUUCAAUGUUGAUUUUGAAACCUAUACCUAUUUAAUAUUUAAAAAAAGAAAAAGUCUCUCCAAAAUGAAAAUUUAGUCAUUCAUAAGUCAUAAAAAGCUUAUCCUUUUUUAUUUUUGCAAUUUAGUAGACAGACACCUUAGGUUGAUUCAUUUACAGUAUUUUGCUAUAAUUUUUUUAAUUCGUUCCAUUUUUGAGCUUUUCGACCUAGGUAUGUUCUCUACCAUUCCUCCUGCGUUCAGAAGAAAUAUUUUCUGAUAAUUUUGGAUUUUGGACAGAUAAAAAAAGAAAAGUAUCUAAAUUGGGGUAGGUGGUUGGUUUAAGCCACAUGCUUUUCUCAAAUCAUUCAUUUGGGAGGGGGGGGGGGAACAACGCAUAAGAAUUGUUUUACUGAAUAAGCUACCUGCUGAUUGAGUUUCCUUCGAUUUUGAACCCGUUUGCAGUAAAUAUGUUUGUGGUGUUUCAACAACCAAAUAUCUGUACUUUUCCGUUAGUUUUCAAUACAGCUUCGCUCGUGUCUUGUUAAUUGUUAUGGUACCAUAGUGAAGGAGAAGACAUGUGAAAUUGAAAUCCACAAGGGAUGUGGAAUGUCUGUUUAAAUAUGCGUGUCUUCAUGCCAUUUAAUACCAUACCACAUUGAUGUACUUAGUAGAUUGUACAGAUGCGUUGCAUCAUUGUUUUGCAUUAUAUGGUUUUACCGCAUACGUUGAGUACAUAUAGCAUUUCGCAUUAUGCUAUCAUAUAGCACCACUGACUGUGAGAUGAAUAUAAUGGUACCUAUUCUGAGUGGUUCGGUACUUGUAUUUUUCGUUCGUACCACUCUAGAGAUUGUCGAUCUUCUCAUGAAACAACUGCAAUCAAUGACAGACCGAGUAAGAGUAAGAAAGCUGACGAAAACAACUCUCCCUCUCAUUUGCUGGAAAAAUAAUUUUUCUAUGCGUAAAUAUAAUUAGGUAGGUACCUACCUAAUAUUUCAACCACCACAGUAAACGGGUUCUAGUCGGAUUUGGAAAUACACUUGGUAAGCGUUUUUAAAAAUGCUCUCAGGGUACCUAUUAAAAAAAAAAAAAAAAAAAAUGAAAUGCACACAAGAAUUUGAAAAAUCCCAUUUUUGGUUUGUUUUGGUUUCACGUUCUCUAAACAAAAUAUCAUUUUAGCAACAAUAAAAUAUGCAACUGUAGAUUCCAUAGAUUUCAACAAUAAAGGCAAACAAAGUACCUAUUUAAAAAGUGGCUAACGUCCAAUUUUUUGGUUUCACAUUUUUCCAACGUGAAUAUCAUUUUAGCAAUAAUAAAAAAAGCUAACGUAGAAAAUAUUAAUCUAUAAACCAUGAAGAAAAUUGCCUAAAAAUGACAAAAGUAAUAAUGAAAAAAAAAAGUGAAGAAUGAUAAGUAAUAUUAAAUAUUUUUUCGUUAGAUUUCAAGAUGUUCGCAGGAAGAAAUAUAAGAAUGCUUCGGAAAAAAAUGGGGAAAAAUGAGGAUAAAAAAAUAAUAAAAAAUUAAAAACACGAAAAAAUAGAAAAAAAUUAAUAUAGAAAAAUGAAAAAAAAAAAAUGAAUAAAUAUAAAGCAGAGAUGGUAAUAGCUACAUUGCACUUAGAAAUUGUGCUUCUUUUUUCAUGAAAAAUAAUGUUGAAAAAUGACUUAGGUAACUCACAUUUAUUUGUACAAAUGUUCGCUUCGGUAUUUAUGUAGUACCUACCUACAUACGUACUUACAAUUAGUUCGAUUUCAAAUAUUCAGAACUUUUAUCUAACAAGACACUGUAAAAAGCUCAAGCAUUUUUGUAUUUCCCAAUAUUACAAGACUCUAACUCUUCUUUACAAAAUAUAUAUCAACUCCAGCACUUGACACAGGAUCUUCACCAAAAUUCUAUCAAAGGUCCCCCGUUGAAUGCUUGAUUUUUUGUUCAUCUUGUAGGCUCCAUGUACAAACAACAAUGUCGUUGAGAAACUAAAGACAAUUUUCUGUUUGAGAGGAGGUUAGUUGGAAAAAUUCUGACCAAAAUAUAAAAAAUUUUCAAGAACUGUUACCGACUUUUUUUUGCUCGUUUCGCACAGGUUUGUCCUCUUUUUUUUUCAAAAUCAAUUUACUAAAAGAAAUACCACUGUUUUUAGGCCUUUCGAAAUCAAAUUUUCAAAAACUUUCGCGAUUGCUUCGCUAGGAUCAAUUUGUUUCUUGUUUUAAAAUUUAAAAAAUCACAUUUAGGCCCCCAAAAAUCCAAAACAGAAAAGGAAAAUUUUAUAAUUCAUAAACAUAUGUUAUCAGUUGCCAAAAUUGGUAUUUCCCCCUAUACCUAUCAGUUGGCAAAUUUUCUGUCAAAACUUUCUUCCGCUCCCCCUCUCACUAACCUCUAUAUAGUUUCGUCCCUAGAAAUGGGCCCGCAUUGGCUCUCUCGACGGCCCUGAGUUAGAUGUGUUUCUAGAUCGAAUUUCAAGUCGCUUUCAAACAAUGAAAUCUAUCCACAUCAUUAUUCUUGGCGUUAAACAGUCAACUUCCAAUGCAUACAAAUACAUAGGUUACCUAAUUCAUUGGUUAAUAAAAUGAGCAAAAAAACAAAGCAACGUUAAUUGAAUCAAGUUAGGUAUCUUUCUAAAAAAAACACACACAAUAACAAACCAAGAAUACGAGUUCGUCAUUAGCCUAAAUUUAAACGCCUCAUUGAACAGCAAUCUUAUGAAUAGGUAACGCGCAUAAUAUUUAUUUCUAUAAGUAGAUAGGUACUUAACUAUUAAUUUAGAAAUUCAUACCUUAAGUAUAGUUACAAAAUAAACCACGAUGAAUAAACGUCGCCAAAAGAUCAUCAGCAGUGGUAAAAUUUUCGUAAAUGACUGAAAACUUAGUUCAAAGUACAAUUAAUACGAUUUGAAAUGGGUGUACCUAUGCAGGAAUCGGAACUCUUGAUCAGAAAAUGUUGAUCGCAUGUUCGUCAUGAAUCACUUGGAGAUUAAAUAAUUUUAAAAUAUGUAGAUAAUAAUCAACGUGUCAAUUUAGACUAAACUAAUUUACGAAUAACUACAGUAAGAUUCAAAAUUAUUAAAUUUUAAAAUUGAAAUAAUUAUAAGUAUUAAGUAUGUAACUUAAAUAAUUGAAAUUUAAUCGCAGCAAAAUGUAGGUACGUUCAAUUGCCGGAUAAUCACUUACCUAUUAAUUGACAGCUGAACUUGGCCAAAAGUUGAUCAAAUACAAGUUCAAAACUUUGAAGUAUUGUUGUAGAACGACGAAAUUCAAAAUUCGUAGGUAAUUAUUCUGAAAUAUAGAACAAAAAAGUAAAGGUGACGUAGUAAAUUAAUCGAAAAUACUUACUUCCACAAAAAUUACUGAAGUAAUCAACUGAAGAUCUUUCCUUACCGAGAUGAUAUACUACAUCGGAAGCCUAGGCCUACUUUAAACAUUUUGUUAAGCGCAUCUGGAAUAUGGAACGGUUCGAAUUCACCAUCACAAUUAAUUGAUAAUAUUCUAAUACGCGAUGGUUCUUUCCCUUCAUUCUGUCACCAGUUCUAUCUUGUUGCUUGGAAAAUGGAAAAAUUCAGUUUAUAGUUUAUACAUUCGAGUUUUCAAUUUAGUUUACUCACGAACGAUUCUAGUUCUUGUCUUCAAUAGUCCUUCGUGAAAUGAAAUUUGAAUUGAAUCAAAAUGCAAAGAGAUCCCAGCUGAGAUCUUUCGAUCGAUACAACGCUGAAAGAGUGAAAGCAUAGGUGUUUAAAUUAAUUGACAAAUGAUAAAAAUAUUGCAUUAAUUAACCUGAGCAUACGCCUAAUCAGAUCAGCAAUCAAUUCUCCUCUCGGCUCUCACUAUCAGAUCAGCUAUGGAAAAAUUUUCAGUGUUUUUCAGGGUUGUACAUGUUUAAAACAAAAAUGUUUUAAACACGUUUAAAACACGUUUAAAACAAGUGAAAAAAAACAGAACGAUGUUUUAAACAAAAAAAGCCGUUUAAAACUGUGUUUUUUUUGUUUUAAACGUGUUUUUUUUCAACUCCAAUUUCCUUAAAAAAACACGUUUUUUUUAGUUUUUUGUUGAAAAAAAGUGAAAUUGAACAAACUGUAUUUUUGGAGGCAAAUUUUGUGUUUUGAUUCCAAUUUUUCAAUAUUUCUUGAGCUUUAUAGCGUUUUUAUGACGUCACAUCUCAAAAAUUCAUGUUUGGUGAACCCAAAACAAAUGAAUUUGUGUUUAAAACACAUUUUAAACGUGUUUAAAACGCGUUUUAAACACAUAGUUUUAAACACGAGAAAAAAACUGUUUUAAAACAAAAAAAACGUUUUAAACAAAAAAAAACGUUUUUUUUGUUUUUUUCAAAAAAAACACGUUUUUGUACAACCCUGGUGUUUUUGUUUAGGUAACGUAACAGAAACGUUUCCAGGUAACGAAAAAAAAUUAAAGAAAUCAAAAACUGAUCAACAGUGUAGCCAACUAGUGAAAAAACAGAUAAAAUAUAAUAAAAGUGAUCACGUGAACCAAUCAGAAACGAGCUACGUGAAAGUGCACUACACCUCCACGCCACCACAGACCUAAAGCUCUUUAAUACAAGUAUGGAAAAAGAUUAUGCUCUUAAGAAAGUCAUAGCAUUUUACGUAUGUGUUACGCACUGCGCAUGGCAGGUUGGUGUUGUCACGCGGUGGUGGUGGGUGGAGCAACCAAUGGGGUGCAACGUUGUACGUGAACAGCUGAUUUGAUGCUUGCUCGCGCACUGCGCAGUACGUAAAACUUAUGUAAAAUCCUAUGACUUUCUUAAGAGUAUAAUCUAUUUCCAUACUUGUAUUAAAGAGCUUUACACAGACCUUGAACCUUUUCUCGGAGCGGUCACGGUCACAGAGGUCGUUGAGCUAAAAUGCGUAGUGUUUGUUCAAUUUUUUCGUUGGUCGCCAUGUUCACGUUCAGGUAUUCUAAUUUUAUCCGACUGUUUCGUACGUUGAAUUUUGUUUAAUUUAUUUGAAUAUCAAUGAGAUUUCUUUGGGUAAGUACUGUAUAAUAUGAAUUAAGAUUAAUUAUUUUCAUUUACGUAAGUAGUUGGAAUUAGUUUUCAAAGUGUUUUCUGUCUCGAGGCGGUGGUCUAUUGUGUGGAAUGGUAGUGAGGGGGGAGAUUUGCGGCUUACGCAUCCAAACCGUUUCAUGUCAAGAAGUGCUUCAUCGCCUAUUGUUCUCCACUCUUCUCUGCUGGAAAGUUGAAAAUAAAUGCUGAAGUUUUUUUUUUCGUUGAGUAUUUACGCGAAUGUGAAGUUACUUAGUAUUUAUACUCUUUUCUGAAAAUGCUACGCCCAUUAGUACGUAAGGUAUGGUUGUGUUUAUUUUGUCUAAAUUCUUUUGUAAUUCGCCGGCUUUUGUUCAUUUGUGCAUUUCUUGAUUCGCGAUGAAUCCAGGAGGCAAGGUUAUAUAGUAUGUAUGUAGCAUUAUUAUGAUGUUAUUAAGGUGUACCUACUCUUGGCGAAUUUGGGUUCAAAUAUUCAGUUAGCUUUCAACUUGGUAUUGUUUUUCAGAUUGCUUGGUUUAUGGAAUGGACCACCUACGAUGAUUUUCGAAAAACGUGAACACUGUUACUGUUAGAUGAUACCGCCGAACUAUCUACGAUGUAUAGAACAGAAGCUGUCGGAAUUAUUUUUGUACAGAUUUGUGAUCGUAUGUAGAUAUGUGCCAAGUUCCAUGAUCUUACAGUUUAGGCGCUAGUUAGCUUGUUCGUUUUACUUAAUUUGCUGCUCGCUAUACCAUACAUUGCUUUUUGAAGCAGAAUGCGACUAAAAUUGCCGAAGUAUCUACCAAAUAUCAUACUUAUAGAAGCUAGGUACCGGCCGAUGUUAUGUUUGUGCAGAUUUGUUGUUAUCCUAGUUCCAGUUUUGAUCCUAGUUUCCUCAUUCGAUUUCAAAUUACGAUAUGUACUCGAUGACGUAGUUUCUCGUUCUUAAAGGUUGAUGAAUUAUUCGUAUACCACGAUACCUAACGAAGUAACGACUGGAAUUGUUAUACUGGCUUCAAAGUUGAUGAAGAUUCAAAUCAGAAAUGUGUUCAAAUGCAGCCUCUAAUACCAGAAAUUUUUUUGGGCUUGAAAAAAUAUCCUCAUAGAAGAAAUUUAUGAACGGAAAUUAAACCAAAGAGAAAUGUCCCAGUCAUGACGAGUCAUCGGUGCCAUCGGUGCGCGCGCAGCAAACACGAGAUGACGCAUCACACUACGCAUUACGCAUAGUUCAACUUCAACCUUUUCAUUUCACCAUUCACCUUCAAUUUUUGACAUCAUGGUGACAAAUGAAUUACGUUGAAUUGUGCUGCUCUUUUCGUGUCGUUAAUUUUUUUAUUAAUUUAGCCGUCAUGUCGCGAUUUUUUUUUCAUUUUCGUUCACUUAUGGUAUUGCGAAUUAGUUGACGAUUUGAUUUAUUUAAUCUUGCAUUUACACGAUCUUGUAUUUAAUUUCAUCGGAGAAAUGUGAGCGGUGGUUCGGCCACAUGUGUCACUGUACUACAGAGUAUACGUAAGGUUCAUGUUAUGAAUAAAAGUGGUGGCGAUGAUCACGAAGGAAACAGAAAGUGAAUACGUACGUCUACGUAUACGAAAGAUGCUCGUCGAAGGAUUUUAUUACAUAUUUGUCGAAGAUGGAAAUUAGUUUCCCCUGGUAGAUAUAGCAUGUACCUGUACUGAUGAACAUGUUAUGAAAAAAAAAUGAAUACGUUUGAAAGAAGCUCGUCAAAGGAUUUCACAACGUACCUAUUUGUCGAAAAUGGAAACAGUUUCCCCCGGAUCCUGUGACUUUUUAUUUUUCAAAACUUCUUUUAUAAACUUCGAUUUUGAAAUCACAAGUAUUUUGAACAAUUUUAGCGUACGCGAGAUAUUUCCCCUCAGGCCUCCGAAGAUGAAUUCAACGCGAUUUUUGGAAUUUCUGCUAGGAUCGGAUUGGAUCGGGUAUUGUCUUGGCAGUUAUAGGCGAAUUAGUGGUCGUCAUUGUCCGUCGGUGAUGGCCACUAAUUGAAGUGCCUCUGCAUGAUUGUGGAUGACGGAUAUGAGCCGGAUGAUUGGUCAACGUGGCGACUUACUCAGAUGGACUUCCUGACACGAAUUGUGCUUCCGUGCUGGUGGAUGCUGAUUUCGUUGCGUAUCCGAGCCGUGGCGAGAUCAAUAAAGGUAUUCCACCUGGCCAUUCUCCUAUCCGGUCAGCUUGGGUACGGUCGGAGAGAAAGUCUGCUAUAUGGUCUGUGUUAGUUGGGGUUGAAAUUUACGUGUUUUUUCUGUUGAAAAUUUCUAAAUUUUGUCUUGCUUUUUUAUUUUUUAUUCAUUUAUUUUUUUUUUCAAUUCAAUCAUUAUUUUUGGCUUCAUAUUUUCUUACAUUCUUCUCCCGUCUCUAUAAAAGGUGUAAACAAUUUUUACGGGUUGGUUUCAAUAUAAGGCAAGUAUGGCGUGUGAUGAGUUUUCUAUGUAAAUUUCAUUUUUUCCAUUUUUUUUAUUUUUAUUUUUUUUCAUCAAAGUUGUCCCUGUGCAUAACUUAUGUCCAACUUUACCAGAUCGUCUCGGUGGCCCAAGGGAAUUGUUGCCGGCGGGCCUGUGGAGUACUGGUAAUGCAAAAUUACAUUUUUUUUCUGCACAUUCUCUUGAUUUUCGCGAAAAGAUCGCAACUUUCGGGUGGAGGAGUUGCGCAACCGGCUCAUGUCUUGGACGUUAUGGCGUAGCCUCCGCGUGUCCCAUGAGAUCCCACUCCCUCAGCAGCAACAGUCUGGAUAAGCCAACUUUACCGCUUCGCAAUGCCAUUAAUCGGGUUGGCGGUACUGCAAAAAGCUGCACUUUAGGUUUUUGGACCGCGCGUAAAGAUCGCUACGCUCGAGGGAAGACGUAGCGCAGGUUCUCCUGGACGUACCCGGUAUCGAUACUGGCGCGGGUUCCUUGAGAAAUCCUCUUCCCUCAACCCAUUCUCAGUCCUUUGGGUGGGGUAUUCUUGUUCAUGAUGAUGCGUGAAGGGGUAAAGUAGGACGGACUUACUUUGCCAAGAUGGAGAGAAUGUGGUCUUCUAAUUGAAUGCAACGAAAAAAUGAACACGCGAAUGAUGCUCGUCGAAGGAUUUCACAAAGUAAUUGUCGAAGAUGGAAGCAGUUUUCUCUGAAGGCGAAGACAGAUCCUGAUCUAAAAAUGGAAUUCAGAUGUAGAUCCUUUCUACGUGUGGUAUCAUCAGCUCCAGAAUAUUCUCCAGCUUCGAACGUGCGAUACCUAACUCAUAUCUCUCGCGUCUCUCCCGCAUGUCCAGUUUCAAUUUUACGCGAUCAGCUUUUGACGGAAUAACCAGCGCAGCGUGGCGAUUUUAUUCAGCGGAACCGAAAUUUUACCGAGCUUCGAGAAGACGUGUACGUACAAUGUUUGUAAAUUGAACUUGUCGCCCACCCCCCUCCUCCCUUAAUCGCAGCAUUUGGCACGUUGGCCUAUGGGCUUUAUACGAUAGACGCGAUACGGCGCGGAAUAAUUAUUUUAGAAGUGCCUACUCAGACUACUAGCUCGCUGAACGAUAUUUUUACGUGCGAAUUUUUUGAUUGGUCAUCGUUGCUCUCACUGACCUAUAAGUACUUUUGAACGCAGCGCUCGAACGUGAUAAUUUUAGCUGCCAGGAUUAAUUCUAGCUCAUUGAAGAACUGUAUUUUACGCAUGCAAAUAUUUGUAAAUGUGAUUAUGCCCUCACCUGCUAUUUGGAUUGAAACGAAUUUAUUGGAAAAGCUCUAGAUUAUUCCCUAUGAAGAUGGAGUAGUAGUUGCAUAUUAUUGAGAACUUGCUUGAAAGUUCCCUGCAAUGUUUAUGUAGCACUUAUACCUACUUGUACCGCUACUUAUCGAUUUUAUGAAUUAUUCGCGCGGAUAUUUUGACGUUUUAUUCACGAUGAGAUCCUUUUUUUCCAAUUGGUGAAUGAAUAUCGUCGACGUAUUGGAUUUUGAAGCUGGACGUAUAUGAUACACGAGUAUUCUUACGCUUAAUUUUAGCACUUGUACGGCGCAAUACUGACUCACAACAACAACGCUUGCGGUACCAGAAGUUUUUUUUUUUUUUAAAUUGGAUAGGUACAAGAAUAUUUCGGAUCAAAAUUGGAUGGGGCGAUGUAUUUGGCUAUUUUCAAAAUUCGUCGUUUAAGUUGAGCGCCGAUGUUGGUAUCUGGUCAACCUGGAGACCUCACAACAUCGGAAGAGACCCGGAGGGUUUUGCGAUGCCUACUGCGAUCGUCCCCGGCAUCCGGGAUACCAAGGCGGCAUGGUAGGGUCGCAUUAAACGAAGGGUAAUGAGGGAUGGUAGAUGUUACACGUUUAACUAGAUAUCUAACAUUGUUCGAAUCGCAGGUCGAAAGGUCUUUUCAUCGUCGAUGGCGUUCUUUGUGGUACCUCGUGCACGACUUUUUCCUUCAAAAACACACUGACGUGUGAUUUUUGGAGCGAACGAGUCGUAUACGAGUUAUCCGAGGCGUCGCAGGGCGAUUUGUGGUGCGUGAAAGUGCGUGUGUGGAAGCUGCCAUGUGGUGAGUGUAGUCAGUGUAGGGAAUUGAGAUACUGUUCCGGAGAGUUGGGCCCGACAAAGGGUUCGAUUGUCUGGACUGUUGAGAGUGCGCGAAGAGCGGAUGUCGAUCUGGAUUUUUAUGCUUUGUUAGAAUCUAGUUAAACGUGUAAGGUCUUUCCGUCAUCGUAUGGGAAGAGAAUGUUCAAAAAUUGCUCUAUUGAAAUGAUUAGCAUCGAACUUUCUAGAAAUGUGUUUUAGUCAUCAUUGGUCGGAUGGGAGAUGACUGGGGUUCGAUUUUGAUACUGUGUGAAUGAGUCAGGUACAGGCGAGUCGUUACUAUGUUACCUAUUAUAAGUUAGUUUAUACCAGUUGAUUCAGGUGAGUGGUUAUUUAAUUACUUAUUAAUUAAGAUCAGCUUAUUUGCGUCAAAUUUGACAUAUGAGACAAGUGACGAGCAAAAUUGUCGAUCAUUCUUGCUGGUUUACGAUGAAAUUUGUCGAGAAAUUGAGAUUAGGACCCCCCUCCCGCCCCUCUAGUUUUUAUGUAUAUUAUCAUGUUGAUGUUGUAUAAUUUCUGUUUGUGUAUUUUUUUAAAAAAUUUUUUUGAAAAUUUGUAUCAUAUCACAAUCAUGUUAUCAUUAUUCGUGUAUUUUUGUAAUGGCCAAUCAUGGUUUUUCACUGUCGAGCGGCCGGCAGUGUUUUUUACUCCAGAUUGGUCAACGUGUUGUAGAAUUAAGUUUGUAUUUCUUUGCCGUUAAAAAAUUGAAACGAUUUUCGUUU